UGAUCCUGGCUCAGGACGAACGCUGGCGGCGUGCCUAAUACAUGCAAGUAGAACGCUGAAGACUUUAGCUUGCUAAAGUUGGAAGAGUUGCGAACGGGUGAGUAACGCGUAGGUAACCUGCCUACUAGCGGGGGAUAACUAUUGGAAACGAUAGCUAAUACCGCAUAACAGCAUUUAACACAUGUUAGAUGCUUGAAAGGAGCAAUUGCUUCACUAGUAGAUGGACCUGCGUUGUAUUAGCUAGUUGGUGAGGUAACGGCUCACCAAGGCGACGAUACAUAGCCGACCUGAGAGGGUGAUCGGCCACACUGGGACUGAGACACGGCCCAGACUCCUACGGGAGGCAGCAGUAGGGAAUCUUCGGCAAUGGGGGCAACCCUGACCGAGCAACGCCGCGUGAGUGAAGAAGGUUUUCGGAUCGUAAAGCUCUGUUGUAAGAGAAGAACGUGUGUGAGAGUGGAAAGUUCACACAGUGACGGUAACUUACCAGAAAGGGACGGCUAACUACGUGCCAGCAGCCGC
rnacentral:rRNA from 1 species